CUUUUUCCACCGGAGCUUGCUCCACCGGAAAAAGAGGAGUGGCGAACGGGUGAGUAACACGUGGGUAACCUGCCCAUCAGAAGGGGAUAACACUUGGAAACAGGUGCUAAUACCGUAUAACAAUCAAAACCGCAUGGUUUUGAUUUGAAAGGCGCUUUCGGGUGUCGCUGAUGGAUGGACCCGCGGUGCAUUAGCUAGUUGGUGAGGUAACGGCUCACCAAGGCCACGAUGCAUAGCCGACCUGAGAGGGUGAUCGGCCACAUUGGGACUGAGACACGGCCCAAACUCCUACGGGAGGCAGCAGUAGGGAAUCUUCGGCAAUGGACGAAAGUCUGACCGAGCAACGCCGCGUGAGUGAAGAAGGUUUUCGGAUCGUAAAACUCUGUUGUUAGAGAAGAACAAGGAUGAGAGUAACUGUUCAUCCCUUGACGGUAUCUAACCAGAAAGCCACGGCUAACUACGUGCCAGCAGCCGCGGUAAUACGUAGGUGGCAAGCGUUGUCCGGAUUUAUUGGGCGUAAAGCGAGCGCAGGCGGUUUCUUAAGUCUGAUGUGAAAGCCCCCGGCUCAACCGGGGAGGGUCAUUGGAAACUGGGAGACUUGAGUGCAGAAGAGGAGAGUGGAAUUCCAUGUGUAGCGGUGAAAUGCGUAGAUAUAUGGAGGAACACCAGUGGCGAAGGCGGCUCUCUGGUCUGUAACUGACGCUGAGGCUCGAAAGCGUGGGGAGCAAACAGGAUUAGAUACCCUGGUAGUCCACGCCGUAAACGAUGAGUGCUAAGUGUUGGAGGGUUUCCGCCCUUCAGUGCUGCAGCUAACGCAUUAAGCACUCCGCCUGGGGAGUACGACCGCAAGGUUGAAACUCAAAGGAAUUUGACGGGG
rnacentral:rRNA from 1 species